UUGAAAAUAAACCUGACGAGUUGCUGCUGGCUCUCUAGAGAGCAUGUGCACACUUGUCAUCUUAUACAUCUCCACCUGUGCACCUGAUGUAGACCUGGAUAACUCUCUGAAUGUGCUAGCAUUCAGGUAUGAGGAUUGACUCUCUGGCUCUCCUUAAAAUUUCAGAUCUAUGUUUUUUCAUAUAACCUCAAAUGUAUGUUAUAGAAUGUAAUAUUAUGGGCUUCUGUGCCUUAUAAACCUUAUA
rnacentral:misc_RNA from 1 species